rnacentral:rRNA from 1 species
CUGACGCUCAUGCACGAAAGCGUGGGUAUCGAAACAGGAUUAGAUACCCUGGUAGUCCACGCGGUAAACGAUGAUAAACUAGUUAUUCGGCGCGACUGAGUGCUGAGUGACCGAGCGAAAGCGUUAAGUUAUCCACCUGGGGAGUACGCCGGCAACGGUGAAACUCAAAGGAAUUGACGGGGGCCCCGCACAAGCGGAGGAACAUGUGGUUUAAUUCGAUGAUACGCGAGGAACCUUACCCGGGCUUGAAUUGCAGAUGACGGAUCUAGAGAUAGAGACUUCCUUCGGGACAUCUGUGAAGGUGCUGCAUGGUUGUCGUCAGCUCGUGCCGUGAGGUGUCGGCUUAAGUGCCAUAACGAGCGCAACCCUUCUCUUCAGUUGCCAUCAGGUCAAGCUGGGCACUCUGGAGACACUGCCACCGUAAGGUGUGAGGAAGGUGGGGAUGACGUCAAAUCAGCACGGCCCUUACGUCCGGGGCUACACACGUGUUACAAUGGCCGGUACAGAAAGUCGGAUGCCCGUAAGGUCAUUCUAAUCAAGAAAGCCGGUCCCAGUUCGGACUGAGGUCUGCAACCCGACCUCACGAAGCUGGAUUUCGCU